rnacentral:rRNA from 1 species
UUUCUAUUAGUUGCGAUGCAAAUAGUGAAGUAGUACUGUGAUGGAAUGGUGAAAAGAACCCCCAUCGGGGAGUGAAAUAGAACAUGAAA